CCAGACUCCUACGGGAGGCAGCAGUGGGGGAUAUUGCACAAUGGGGGGAACCCUGAUGCAGCGACGCCGCGUGGGUGAAGAAGUAUUUCGGUAUGUAAAGCCCUAUCGGCAGGGAAGAAAUUGGACGGUACCUGACUAAGAAGCCCUGGCUAACUACGUGCCAGCAGCCGCGGUAAUACGUAGGGGGCAAGCGUUAUCCGGAUUUACUGGGUGUAAAGGGAGCGUAGACGGCAGUGCAAGUCCGGAGUGAAAGCCCGGGGCUCAACCCUGGGACUGCUCUGGAAACUGUAAAGCUGGAGUGCGGGAGGGGCAGGCGGAAUUCCUGGUGUAGCGGUGAAAUGCGUAGAUAUCAGGAGGAACACCGGCGGCGAAGGCGGCCUGCGGGACCGUAACUGACGUUGAGGCUCGAAAGCGUGGGGAGCAAACAGGAUUAGAUACCCCGGUA
rnacentral:rRNA from 1 species